rnacentral:rRNA from 1 species
AACCUCCGCAAUGCGCGCAAGCGUGACGGGGCUACCCCGAGUGCCGCCCGCUGAGGGCGGCUUUUCCCCAGUGUAAACAGCUGGGGGAAUAAGGGGAGGGCAAGUCGGGUGUCAGCCGCCGCGGUAAUACCCGCUCCCCGAGUGGUGGGGACGAUUAUUGGGCUUAAAGCGUCCGUAGCCGGCCUGGCAAGUCCCUCGUUAAAUCCAACGGCCUAACCGUCGGACUGCGGGGGAUACUGUCAGGCUAGGGGGCGGGAGAGGCCGGCGGUAUUCCCGGGGUAGGGGUGAAAUCCUAUAAUCCCGGGAGGACCACCAGUGGCGAAGGCGGCCGGCCAGAACGCGCCCGACGGUGAGGGACGAAAGCCGGGGGAGCGAACCGGAUUAGAUACCCGGGUAGUCCCGGCUGUAAACGAUGCGGGCUAGGUGUUGGCGCGACCACGAGUCGCGCCAGUGCCGCAGGGAAACCGUUAAGCCCGCCGCCUGGGGAGUACGGUCGCAAGACUGAAACUUAAAGGAAUUGGCGGGGGGGCACCACAAGGGGUGAAGCUUGCGGUUCAAUUGGAGUCAACACCGGGAACCUUACCGGGGGCGACAGCAGGAUGAAGGCCAGAUUAAAGGUCUUGCCAGACAAGCUGAGAGGAGGUGCAUGGCCGUCGCCAGCUCGUGCCGUGAGGUGUCCUGUUAAGUCAGGCAACGAGCGAGACCCGCGCCCCUUGUUGCCAGCGGCCUCCGGAAGGAGGUUGGGCACACGAGGGGGACUGCCGCCGCUAAGGCGGAGGAAGGAGCGGGCUACGGCAGGUCAGUAUGCCCCGAAUCCCCCGGGCCACACGCGAGCUGCAAUGGCAGGGACAAUGGGUUCCGACCCCGAAAGGGGGAGGCAAUCCCUAAACCCUGCCUCAGUUGGGAUCGAGGGCUGCAACCCGCCCUCGUGAACAUGGAAUCCCUAGUAAUCGCGGGUCAUCAACCCGCGGUGAAUACGUCCCCGCCCCUUGCACACACCGCCCGUCGCUCCACCCGAGUGAGGCCUAGAUGAGACGCAGUUUCUUGGCUGCGUCGAAUCUAGGCUUCGCGAGGGGGGAG